UCACGAUAAUGGCAAACCUGUCGUAAGGCAGCGACGCAAAACUAUAGAGCCUGAGGGCGAAAGCUCACGGUAGCCAGUUACCGAA
rnacentral:ncRNA from 1 species